rnacentral:rRNA from 1 species
GAUGAACGCUAGCUACAGGCUUAACACAUGCAAGUCGAGGGACGGGCGCACGGGUGAGUAACACGUAUCUAACCUGCCCUGUGGUCGAGGAUAGCCUUUCGAAAGAAAGAUUAAUACCCGAUAUAAAGGAUGGGGAUGCGUUCCUUUAGGUUGUUGGUGAGGUAACGGCUCACCCAGCCUUCGAUGGAUAGGGGGUCUGUGAGGAAGGUCCCCCAGAUUGGAACUGAGACCCGGUCCAAACUCCUAGGGGCGGCAGCAGUGAGGAAUAUUGGUCGAUGAGCGCUAGCCUGAACCAGCCAAGUAGCGUGAAGGAUGAAUGCUUAUGAGUCGUAAUCUUCUUUUAUAUAAGAAGCUGUAUUAUAUGAAUAAGGAUCGGCUAACUCCGUGCCAGCAGCCGCGGUAAUUC